AAACACAAGAAAUAAACAGAAGUUAUUCAUUCGGCUUGAGCACUACUUGAGACUUCAGAGAGCUCCCUAGCUAAUAAUUCAGUUCUAGCUUGCAACCUACUAAUUCCAUCAGCUAAUAAUUUAGGUCGAUCGGGAGGCAGUAGCAGUAGCAAGUAGCACCGCUGCCCACACAUCUACUAGCUAGCCACGACAAAUUAAGCUCCCCUAGCUAGUCCGAUCCCAUGGCUAACUUGACUGCUCAAAUCAAGGACAAGUUCCUCGGCCUCGUCGACCGCGUCGCUGGUUGCGGCCGCGCCGGCGCCGGCAAGGAUGUGCAGGAGCCCACCAAGCUCCACAACGUGCAGCCCAUUGCGAUCAAGCCGAGAGGUCCCAACGUGAGCCAAGGAUCAAAGGCCGGCGUCAACGGAGACCAGCUGCUUUAAAUAAACGACUCGACGUGUUCAUUGUUGAUGCGUGCAUGGUUGAUAACUUGCCAGUGUUCCAAAUAAGAAUACGUUGUAUACUUGUAUGUGCAGUAUCGAUUCUCCUCUUCCGAUCCAUUGGUUGUAAUGGAACCUUGACAUUUAUUUAUUUUUAUUUUUCCUUUCGAAGUUUCCCUUUGAUCCAUGAGGAUUUGGGCGUGUAUUUUUCUUUUGAUACAUGCAACCUCAAUAAAAAUAGUAAUUUGAUUAAA